AAAUUGAAGAGUUUGAUCAUGGCUCAGAUUGAACGCUGGCGGCAGGCCUAACACAUGCAAGUCGAACGGUAACAGGAAGAAGCUUGCUUCUUUGCUGACGAGUGGCGGACGGGUGAGUAAUGUCUGGGAAACUGCCUGAUGGAGGGGGAUAACUACUGGAAACGGUAGCUAAUACCGCAUAACGUCGCAAGACCAAAGAGGGGGACCUUCGGGCCUCUUGCCAUCGGAUGUGCCCAGAUGGGAUUAGCUAGUAGGUGGGGUAACGGCUCACCUAGGCGACGAUCCCUAGCUGGUCUGAGAGGAUGACCAGCCACACUGGAACUGAGACACGGUCCAGACUCCUACGGGAGGCAGCAGUGGGGAAUAUUGCACAAUGGGCGCAAGCCUGAUGCAGCCAUGCCGCGUGUAUGAAGAAGGCCUUCGGGUUGUAAAGUACUUUCAGCGGGGAGGAAGGGAGUAAAGUUAAUACCUUUGCUCAUUGACGUUACCCGCAGAAGAAGCACCGGCUAACUCCGUGCCAGCAGCCGCGGUAAUACGGAGGGUGCAAGCGUUAAUCGGAAUUACUGGGCGUAAAGCGCACGCAGGCGGUUUGUUAAGUCAGAUGUGAAAUCCCCGGGCUCAACCUGGGAACUGCAUCUGAUACUGGCAAGCUUGAGUCUCGUAGAGGGGGGUAGAAUUCCAGGUGUAGCGGUGAAAUGCGUAGAGAUCUGGAGGAAUACCGGUGGCGAAGGCGGCCCCCUGGACGAAGACUGACGCUCAGGUGCGAAAGCGUGGGGAGCAAACAGGAUUAGAUACCCUGGUAGUCCACGCCGUAAACGAUGUCGACUUGGAGGUUGUGCCCUUGAGGCGUGGCUUCCGGAGCUAACGCGUUAAGUCGACCGCCUGGGGAGUACGGCCGCAAGGUUAAAACUCAAAUGAAUUGACGGGGGCCCGCACAAGCGGUGGAGCAUGUGGUUUAAUUCGAUGCAACGCGAAGAACCUUACCUGGUCUUGACAUCCACGGAAGUUUUCAGAGAUGAGAAUGUGCCUUCGGGAACCGUGAGACAGGUGCUGCAUGGCUGUCGUCAGCUCGUGUUGUGAAAUGUUGGGUUAAGUCCCGCAACGAGCGCAACCCUUAUCCUUUGUUGCCAGCGGUCCGGCCGGGAACUCAAAGGAGACUGCCAGUGAUAAACUGGAGGAAGGUGGGGAUGACGUCAAGUCAUCAUGGCCCUUACGACCAGGGCUACACACGUGCUACAAUGGCGCAUACAAAGAGAAGCGACCUCGCGAGAGCAAGCGGACCUCAUAAAGUGCGUCGUAGUCCGGAUUGGAGUCUGCAACUCGACUCCAUGAAGUCGGAAUCGCUAGUAAUCGUGGAUCAGAAUGCCACGGUGAAUACGUUCCCGGGCCUUGUACACACCGCCCGUCACACCAUGGGAGUGGGUUGCAAAAGAAGUAGGUAGCUUAACCUUCGGGAGGGCGCUUACCACUUUGUGAUUCAUGACUGGGGUGAAGUCGUAACAAGGUAACCGUAGGGGAACCUGCGGUUGGAUCACCUCCUUACCUUAAAGAAGC
rnacentral:rRNA from 22 species